UAGCUACUCCCUCCGUCCCGAAAAGCUUGUCCAAGCUUGUCUAUCAAAUGGAUGUAUUUAACACUAACUUGGUGCUAGAUACAUCCAUUUGAGGAACAAGUUUUUCUGAAUGGAGGGAGUACAAC
rfam:Triticum aestivum genome assembly, contig: Triticum_aestivum_CS42_TGACv1_scaffold_377256_5AL